GAAUCAUGUGGACCCUGUUACAAGAUUACAGCUCUCCACACCUGCUCUGCAGACAACAGCUUGAACCUUAUGAAACAUGAAGUUUUCUCUUUGAGAUAUUCCUUCAGGUCUUGCAUACUCAUGAAAGUAAUGACUUGUUUGAUCUGAAAGACCCUGCUGAUGCCAGCUGGUCUGAAGGAACCCACAGGAGCUGACUUACCAAAGAAUGCGGUUUUCACCUUCUGAUGAUUUCAUUCCCCUGACCCCACCAAUGAACAGCCCCUCAUCCUCCAUGAUCCUCUUAAAAACCCCAGAAUUCCUCAGAGAGAUGGAUUUGGAGGUCUCCUUCCAUCUCCCUGCUUGGGGUCCUGCCAUCGCUAAACUGUCUGUCCUGCAAAUUCUGCUGUCUCAGUGCAUUGGUCUGUUACUCUGCAGGGGGCACAGGAACCUGUUGGUUCCGUAACAGCAGAGCCUGCCUUUUCAGCCCUUCCUUGCUCAGCCACCAGAUGUAGGCCACCCAGGAAGUCGUGACCUUGGGCAGGGUGGCUCUCUGCCACUGAGGCUCACCUUCAGGAGCUGGUGGCUGAAGGCACACACGGUCACAUUCCCCCUAGUUGGGCAGCAAAGCCUUCCUUGAAUGAGAGUCCUUUCCACAGCUCCAUGUCCACCACAACUGUGUUCUCCCUUCCAGAAUUACUCUAACAAAGUCCUCCAAGAACAUCUGUUUCCCUUCCAUGGUUUGUUUUCUUUGCCCAAAGAAUCAGGGGGCCAUGUUUAGCUUAGGUUCAAAGGACCCUUCUCCCUCCCACUGGAGGUUCGUAAUCCUAAUGCCAGCCCAAGCCAGUGGAGGAGAGUCUUAAGUUUAAUAAAAUCAGGGGGUUUUAGUAUUAGAGUGUUUUAAUCCCCGAAAGAGAUACUAUUUACUUAUAUUUUUUGGAAGACAUAAAAUAACCUACGUGAUCUGCCUGAAAUUUCAUUAAGGGCUAAGAAAAACUAGCCAAGAAAAUGGGUUUGAAGAGUCCAUAGCCAAAAAGAAAGAUGGAGCUUUGUGUUUGCUGCCCAAGACCAGCUCCUUUGAUAAAUCUUACAUGGGUUUUUCAGGAAGUACAAAAAAGCUUAAGCCAAAUUAAAAAUUCAUUUUCCUAAUGCGAGAGUCACCCAACUCUUCCAGGCUCUAGAUGAGAACUUACGGCUUAUCUCAACCCCUCAAGCUGUAGGUAUGGCUUUAACUUGACUCAAAUGUGCUAUUUCAGAAGACGCUCCAACUUUUAAAGAAAACCAAGUCUAAAGUUCAACUCAGGACCUUUCUCACGAAUCAUGCACAAUUGUAAUUUUUAGAACUAAAAUCGCAACUUCUGAAAAUAAAAGAAUUUGAAAAGCAACAAACCGAUAAACAGAGAGGCAUCCUCACCUUCUUCGUGCACCUUCUGGCCUUGCUGCCGGCGCAGCGGGCUCUGACCGUGCUGUGCUUCUGCGAUUCAGGUCUUCACCUGAUCUCAACAGCUCACCAGCUGGCCCUUCUCUCCCCAAUUAGAGAUUUUACCUUCACAAACAGCGUCCUUCCUAGGACCACGCUCAGACCACCCAGAAGAACGCUUGCCUUUUGCCUUUUCAACUUCUGUGCCCUUAGCUCCAGUUUAAUUCCUCGCCAAGUGUCAGAAACAGGAAGGGGAAAAAAAGGGGUCAGCUGUCAGGGCAGCUUUGCGCUGGGAGCAUUACACUCUCACGGCUGUUUUCCCCAAUUAGAAUGUUUUCUGGACGGUUUGCUUGUGAACUAGGGCAUAACCUGUUCAGCUUUCUCCUUUUGGAAAAGCCCACUGAUUCUCUCUGUGCCUGAAGUGAAGUGUUAAAAAAAAUUCCCUAUUGUAUAUAUUCAACUUUUGAUACAGCUCUGGAAAAAUUGAGCAUAUACUAAGAAUACAGAAUGUGAUGACAUUAGUUCCCUAAGCAUAUUUGUGAUUAAGUAGCUUAUAACAUCGAAGGAUCAACCAAUAGACGGCUAAGAUAGAAAUUAACAUGGUCCUUGAUUUUAAAAAAAGGUUUAAAUUCAUUUAAAAGAAAAAAAAUACAAAACUGAAGACUGGACGUUUCCAGUUUUCCUUCCUGGAGAUUUAAUUGAGCCAUCUGAAACUCAUUUGAGAAACUGAUCUUUAAAAAAAAAAAAAAAAAGGCUUUGUGAUAAAGUUUAAAUUUUGCUCAAGUACUGCUGAUGCUUAUUCUGCUGUCUCUCCAACAAGAAAUGCCCCUGCUCUAGAGGAGAGAGGAUCACAGGCAACAACUUAGAACCUGGGGUUUGUGGCCUCGUGUGGUGGCUCACUUCUUAAGCCCAGCACUUUGGGAGGCUGAGGUGGGAGGAUUGCUUGAGGCCAGGAGUUUGAGGCCAGCUUGGGCAACAUAGUGAGACUUUGUCUCUACUUUAAAAAAAAAGAGAAAAAAAAAAAAAGGCUGGGCACGGUGGCUCACGCCUGUAAUCCCAGCACUUUGGGAGGCUGAGGCGGGUGGAUCACCUGAGGUGAGGAGUUCGAGACCAGCCUGACCAAUAUGGAAAAACCCUGUUUCUACUAAAAAUACAAAAAUUAGCUGGGCGUGGUGGUGCAUGCCUGUAAUCCCAGCUACUGGGGAGGCUGAGGCAGGAGAAUCGCUUGAACCCAGGAGGCAGAGGUUGCAGUGAGCCAAGAUCAUGCCAUUGCACACCAGCUUGGGCAACAAGAGUGAAACUCCGUCUCAAAAGAAAAAAAAAAAAAAGGAAGAAAGAAAGAAAAACGGGGUUUGUGGACUCUAUAACCAACUUCUGAGUCAACAUGGGGCUACUUGGCUACAUACAUUCUCUCUUCAUGGAACUUAUGGUGGUGAUCACAGGUCCAGCCCUCCUUCAAACAGAGCUCAUGAAAAUGGACAGUACCCUUGCCAAGUGACUUGUAUGUAUUCACAUUUAAGACUGAGUUCUUUUUUUUUUUCUUUAAAAUUU
rnacentral:lncRNA from 1 species